rnacentral:rRNA from 1 species
GUUGGCGGCCAUAGGUGGGAGCUAGGACCCGUACCCGUUCCGAACACGGAAGUGAAUCUCCCAUGCGAUCUCUGUGGUAGUGUGGUGCUAACGCCCACGCGAAGCUUAGACCGCUGCCAACC